AAUAGUUUUAUGCCACAUCAGUAUUCUUAUCCUGAAUUUCAGGAUUUUAUCCUGAAGAAAAUCAAAUCCAAAUUAAAAUACUGAAAUUCAGGAUAAGAAUACUGAUGUGGCAUAAAACUAUU
rfam:Gossypium hirsutum cultivar TM-1 chromosome 1, whole genome shotgun sequence